UAUCUCUGUAGAGUCUGCAUAUCAAUAAGCGGAGGAAAAGAAACUAACUAGGAUUCCCUCAGUAACGGCGAGUGAAGCGGGAAGAGCUCAAAUUUGAAAUCUUCAAGGUUCUACCUUGACGAAUUGUAGUUUAAAGAAGUGUUUUCUGUUGGAGUUUUGGUAAAAGUUCUUUGGAAUAGGACAUCAUAGAGGGUGAGAAUCCCGUAUUUGACCAUUACUUCCAGCGUUGUGAUACACUUUCAAAGAGUCGGAUUGUUUGGGAAUGCAGUCCAAAAUGGGUGGUAAAUUUCAUCUAAAGCUAAAUACUGGCGAGAGACCGAUAGCGAACAAGUACCGUGAGGGAAAGAUGAAAAGAACUUUGAAAAGAGAGUUAAACAGUACGUGAAAUUGUCAAAAGGGAAGCGUUUGACACCAGUGUUGUUUUCUCGAAAAUCAAUUAAAAUAAGUCUAGGAUUUUGUAUUGUAAUUGACCUUUAUCAGCUUACUGCUACUCUUUUCUUGUCUUUUUUUAAUGCACUUUUCGUUUAACAAGUCAACAUCAAUUUCUUUUGUUGUAAAAGAGUCAUUGGAAGGUGGCUUUCACUUUCGGAUGAAAGUGUUUAUAGCCUUUGGCCUCUGCAAUCGGAGAGAUUGAGGUCUGCAGCGUAGAUCCUUCGGGGUUAGAUACAGUUAGAUGCUAAGUUAUAGCCUUUUCUAUAGACAACUUGUUGACUAUAAUCAUCAUGUAGCUUACUCGCUUAUGGCUAUUUUACCUACGCUUAGGAUGUUGAAGAUGUAGCACAUCAU
rnacentral:rRNA from 1 species